rnacentral:rRNA from 1 species
UACGUAGGAUGCAAGCGUUGUUCGGAUUUAUUGGGUGUAAAGGGUGCGUAGGCGGCCUACUAAGUUAGUGGUGAAAACGCGGGGCUUAACCUGUUACCCGCCAUUGAUACUGAUAGACUUGAGUGCGACAGAGGGUGUUGGAAUGUGCGGUGUAGCGGUGAAAUGCUUAGAUAUCACGCAGAACACCAAUUGCGAAGGCAGAUGCCUAUGUCGUAACUGACGCUGAGGCGCGAAAGCGUGGGGAGCAAACAGG